AUUGAACGCUGGCGGCAUGCCUUACACAUGCAAGUCGAACGGCAGCGGGCCCUCGGGUGCCGGCGAGUGGCGAACGGGUGAGUAAUGCAUCGGAACGUGCCAUUGAGUGGGGGAUAACGUAGCGAAAGUUGCGCUAAUACCGCAUAUUCUGUGAGCAGGAAAGCAGGGGGACCGCAAGGCCUUGCGCUCUUUGAGCGGCCGAUAUCAGAUUAGCUAGUUGGUGAGGUAAAGGCUUACCAAGGCGACGAUCUGUAGCGGGUCUGAGAGGAUGAUCCGCCACACUGGAACUGAGACACGGUCCAGACUCCUACGGGAGGCAGCAGUGGGGAAUUUUGGACAAUGGGGGCAACCCUGAUCCAGCCAUGCCGCGUGAGUGAAGAAGGCCUCGGGUUGUAAG
rnacentral:rRNA from 1 species